UGAACGCUGGCGGCAUGCCUUACACAUGCAAGUCGAACGGCAGCGCGGACUUCGGUCUGGCGGCGAGUGGCGAACGGGUGAGUAAUACAUCGGAACGUACCCUGUUGUGGGGGAUAACUAGUCGAAAGAUUAGCUAAUACCGCAUACGACCUGAGGGUGAAAGUGGGGGACCGCAAGGCCUCACGCAGCAGGAGCGGCCGAUGUCUGAUUAGCUAGUUGGUGGGGUAAAGGCCCACCAAGGCGACGAUCAGUAGCUGGUCUGAGAGGACGACCAGCCACACUGGGACUGAGACACGGCCCAGACUCCUACGGGAGGCAGCAGUGGGGAAUUUUUGGACAAUGGGGGGCAACCCUGAUCCAGCAAUGCCGCGUGUGUGAAGAAGGCCUCGGGUUGUAAGCACUUUGUCCGGAACGAAAGACCUUUGGGUUAAGUACCUCGGGGGGUAGUGACGGUACCGGGAACGAAUAAGCACCGGCUAACUACGUGCUAGCAGCCGCGGUAAGUCU
rnacentral:rRNA from 1 species